GAGUGGCGAACGGGUGAGUAACACGUGGGAAACCUACCUCUUAGCGGGGGAUAACAUCUGGAAACAGAUGCUAAUACCGCAUAACACUAGCAACCGCAUGGUUGCUACUUGAAAGAUGGUUCUGCUAUCACUAAGAGAUGGUCCCGCGGCGCAUUAGUUAGUUGGUGAGGUAAUGGCUCACCAAGACGAUGAUGCGUAGCCGAGUUGAGAGACUGAUCGGCCACAAUGGGACUGAGACACGGCCCAUACUCCUACGGGAGGCAGCAGUAGGGAAUCUUCCACAAUGGACGAAAGUCUGAUGGAGCAACGCCGCGUGUGUGAUGAAGGGUUUCGGCUCGUAAAACACUGUUGUAAGAGAAGAAUAGCAUCAAGAGUAACUGCUUGGUGUGUGACGGUAUCUUACCAGAAAGGAACGGCUAAAUACGUGCCAGCAGCCGCGGUAAUACGUAUGUUCCAAGCGUUAUCCGGAUUUAUUGGGCGUAAAGCGAGCGCAGACGGUUUUUUAAGUCCGAAGUGAAAGCCCACAGCUUAACUGUGGAAGUGCUUUGGAAACUGGAUGACUUGAGUGCAGUAGAGGAGAGUGGAAUUCCAUGUGUAGCGGUGAAAUGCGUAGAUAUAUGGAGGAACACCAGUGGCGAAAGCGGCUCUCUGGACUGUAACUGACGUUGAGGCUCGAAAGUGUGGGUAGCAAACAGGAUUAGAUACCCUGGUAG
rnacentral:rRNA from 1 species